rnacentral:rRNA from 1 species
UCUCUGCCCGACCACUGGCCUCUGCGUGCGAUGAGAAAAAGAGUACAACUCUUAGCGGUGGAUCACUCGGCUUGAAUCACUA